rnacentral:rRNA from 1 species
CAGGCUUAACACAUGCAAGUCGAGGGGCAUCAGGAAGAAAGCUUGCUUUCUUUGCUGGCGACCGGCGCACGGGUGAGUAACACGUAUCCAACCUGCCCUUUACUCGGGGAUAGCCUUUCGAAAGAAAGAUUAAUACCCGAUGGCAUAAUGAUUCCGCAUGGUUUCAUUAUUAAAGGAUUCCGGUAAAGGAUGGGGAUGCGUUCCAUUAGGUUGUUGGUGAGGUAACGGCUCACCAAGCCUUCGAUGGAUAGGGGUUCUGAGAGGAAGGUCCCCCACAUUGGAACUGAGACACGGUCCAAACUCCUACGGGAGGCAGCAGUGAGGAAUAUUGGUCAAUGGGCGCUAGCCUGAACCAGCCAAGUAGCGUGAAGGAUGAAGGCUCUAUGGGUCGUAAACUUCUUUUAUAUAAGAAUAAAGUGCAGUAUGUAUACUGUUUUGUAUGUAUUAUAUGAAUAAGGAUCGGCUAACUCCGUGCCAGCAGCCGCGGUAAUACGGAGGAUCCGAGCGUUAUCCGGAUUUAUUGGGUUUAAAGGGAGCGUAGGUGGACUGGUAAGUCAGUUGUGAAAGUUUGCGGCUCAACCGUAAAAUUGCAGUUGAUACUGUCAGUCUUGAGUACAGUAGAGGUGGGCGGAAUUCGUGGUGUAGCGGUGAAAUGCUUAGAUAUCACGAAGAACUCCGAUUGCGAAGGCAGCUCACUGGACUGCAACUGACACUGAUGCUCGAAAGUGUGGGUAUCAAACAGGAUUAGAUACCCUGGUAGUCCACACAGUAAACGAUGAAUACUCGCUGUUUGCGAUAUACAGUAAGCGGCCAAGCGAAAGCAUUAAGUAUUCCACCUGGGGAGUACGCCGGCAACGGUGAAACUCAAAGGAAUUGACGGGGGCCCGCACAAGCGGAGGAACAUGUGGUUUAAUUCGAUGAUACGCGAGGAACCUUACCCGGGCUUAAAUUGCAGUGGAAUGAUGUGGAAACAUGUCAGUGAGCAAUCACCGCUGUGAAGGUGCUGCAUGGUUGUCGUCAGCUCGUGCCGUGAGGUGUCGGCUUAAGUGCCAUAACGAGCGCAACCCUUAUCUUUAGUUACUAACAGGUUAUGCUGAGGACUCUAGAGAGACUGCCGUCGUAAGAUGUGAGGAAGGUGGGGAUGACGUCAAAUCAGCACGGCCCUUACGUCCGGGGCUACACAUGUGUUACAAUGGGGGGUACAGAAGGCAGCUAGCGGGUGACCGUAUGCUAAUCCCAAAAGCCUCUCUCAGUUCGGAUCGAAGUCUGCAACCCGACUUCGUGAAGCUGGAUUCGCUAGUAAUCGCGCAUCAGCCACGGCGCGGUGAAUACGUUCCCGGGCCUUGUACACACCGCCCGUCAAGCCAUGGGAGCCGGGGGUACCUGAAGUACGUAACCGCAAGGAUCGUCCUAGGGUAAAACUGGUGACUGGGGC